rnacentral:rRNA from 1 species
CCUACGGGUGGCAGCAGUGAGGAAUAUUGGUCCAUGGGCGCGAGCCUGAACCAGCCAAGUCGCGUGAGGGAGGACGGCCCUACGGGUUGUAAACCUCUUUUGCCGGGGAGCAACGGGCGUCACGUGUGGCGCCACUGAGGGUACCCGGAGCAAAAGCAUCGGCUAACUCCGUGCCAGCAGCCGCGGUAAUCCGGGGGAUGCGGGCUUUAUCCGGAUUUCUGGGGUUAAAGGGGUGCGUAGGCGGAUCGUUAAGUAAGUGGUCAAAUGGAGGGGCUCAACCACUUCCCGCCAUUGAAACUGGCGCUCUUGAGUGGAAGAGAAGUAUGCGGAAUGCGUGGUGUAGCGGUGAAAUGCAUAGAUAUCACGCAGAACCCCGAUUGCGAAGGCAGCAUGCCGGCUUCCGACUGACGCUGAAGCACGAAAGCGUGGGGAUCGAACAGGAUUAGAUACCCGGGUAGUC